AAACAAAAUCCCUCGGCCAGGAACUACCUACCCACAAACUCCGCACGGAACUUCUGCCUAAUUACUCUCCUCAUAUCUCUCCCGAUUCCACUCCCCGCCAGCCACGCACCUCCCAGAUCCUCUUCUCCCCCGGCCUUGCACGCACCUGCAUCUCAUCGUCGUCGAGCAGCACGACCACUUCACCGGCCACUUCCGUCCCAUCCACCGCGCCGGAGCGCCACUCUUCCGUACAUGCAGCGGUGCUCAUCUCCAGCCAAGGUGGCCGCUGGUGUGGUUGCCUAACCAUGCUCCCGGAGGAUCACUACAUGCCAGGAGGAUCAGAAGCCAUAAGAAUCAGCACGCAUCCCUUUUGGAUGUUCCUUUUUGCCGAAUUCUUUGCGUCCAUGCAGGGUUGUCAACAGCGGAAGAACAUGCCAUGCCGAUGUGAGAUCAAUUUGGAAGCAAAUUAGCGUGUCACACACUCAGUGGCCACAUGUCAAGAUUGUUGGCCCCUCAAUGGCGUCGACGCUCGCCGACGUUGACACCAUAGAUUUGUGGGAGAAAUGAAUGUCAUCAAGACUAGGUCGGACAUGGUUGGAUGGAGCAUAGAGGGGAACUAGAGAUUAGGAAGCACGAUUUGUGUUUCGAAGCAUUACUUCGAUGUGAUUAAUUUCAUCAUUCAUUGUGCUUCCACAUGAUUUCUUUGCGAAGCAACUGUUUUCAUUAUACAUCAAGAUUGUAUCAAUUGCAAUUACUAAUUGGUUGGAAGAAAUUUUG
rnacentral:rRNA from 1 species